rnacentral:rRNA from 1 species
UACGUAGAGGGCUAGCGUUGUCCGGAAUCAUUGGGCGUAAAGAGCGCGUAGGCGGCCAGAUAAGUCCGGUGUGAAAGUCAAAGGCUCAACCUUUGAAUGCCGCUGGAAACUGUCUGGCUAGAGUCCGGGAGGGGCGAGUGGAAUUCCUGGUGUAGCGGUGAAAUGCGCAGAUAUCAGGAGGAACACCAAUGGCGAAGGCAGCUCGCUGGAACGGUACUGACGCUGAGGCGCGAAAGCGUGGGGAGCGAACAGG